UCUGACGUUAGCGGCGGACGGGUGAGUAACACGUGGAUAACCUACCUAUAAGACUGGGAUAACUUCGGGAAACCGGAGCUAAUACCGGAUAAUAUAUUGAACCGCAUGGUUCAAUAGUGAAAGACGGUUUUGCUGUCACUUAUAGAUGGAUCCGCGCCGCAUUAGCUAGUUGGUAAGGUAACGGCUUACCAAGGCAACGAUGCGUAGCCGACCUGAGAGGGUGAUCGGCCACACUGGAACUGAGACACGGUCCAGACUCCUACGGGAGGCAGCAGUAGGGAAUCUUCCGCAAUGGGCGAAAGCCUGACGGAGCAACGCCGCGUGAGUGAUGAAGGUCUUCGGAUCGUAAAACUCUGUUAUUAGGGAAGAACAAAUGUGUAAGUAACUAUGCACGUCUUGACGGUACCUAAUCAGAAAGCCACGGCUAACUACGUGCCAGCAGCCGCGGUAAUACGUAGGUGGCAAGCGUUAUCCGGAAUUAUUGGGCGUAAAGCGCGCGUAGGCGGUUUUUUAAGUCUGAUGUGAAAGCCCACGGCUCAACCGUGGAGGGUCAUUGGAAACUGGAAAACUUGAGUGCAGAAGAGGAAAGUGGAAUUCCAUGUGUAGCGGUGAAAUGCGCAGAGAUAUGGAGGAACACC
rnacentral:rRNA from 1 species